AUAGUUUCAAAUUUUAAAACAUUUAAAACACUCGUCCAUUAAUACAUUUAUGAUAUUGGGGAUAAAUUCAGAGUUUCCAAUGGUAAAAUAUAAGCCUUUUUUUUAUGACACUUUAGCUCUUAAGGAUGUGCGUAGACUUUACCUAAGUUUUUUUUUUUUUUUUUUUGAAAAUAAAGUAGCUUUAUUCAAACAAAUCUUCCAAAACUAUGAAAGAAUAACAAGUAGGUAAAGAAUUCCCACUAAGAACACGAUCAACCUCAUAAAGAGAAGCCCGUGCUAAAGCAUGCGCAAGACUACCUAAGUUAAGCAAUAGAAUGGGACAAUAUUUGGCUACAAGACGUAAAAAAACAAUGCUAAAAAAAGGCAACCUUGAACUUUUAUUUUUUUUUAAGUUUUUAUUUAUUUAUUAUUUUAUUUUUUUUAUAAUUUUAAACCGUGAAAAUCAUGAAAAUUAUUCCAAAAAAAAAAAAAUAGUUGUAAAAUUUUUAAAGCUGCGGCCUAGAAGGGAAAGUCACGGCCUUGCACGAAUCUUCGGUGUUGGGAUUCGUUUCGAAGGUUGCGGCCUUCCCAGCCAAGUUGCAGCCUUGUGUUGCCUGCUGCUAUAAAAAAGUGCUUCGCGAACCAAAAACCUAAAACCCACAUUUUCUCUUCUCCUCCGAUUUCAAUAGCCCCAAACACCCAUAAUUCAUCUCCAUGGUCAUCAUAAUCAAUUUCCUUCAUCAAUCUUCCUACUACAUCAAAUUCUCAUCAUCUCUUCAUCAUUAUUCUUAAUAAACCAUAUCACAUUUCUUAAUUUUAAUUCAAAUGUUCAAAAGAGAAGCUUCAUCCAUGGUGAUUUCUUAAAUUUCUUCAAGCAAGAGGAGAUCCAAGGGUUAGGAUCUCUAUUGGGGCUUUCAAUGUUGUGUAUGACAUUCCUCACAUUCUUCUUACCCCUGAUAAUGAUGUUACUAAAUUAUUUAAUAAUGGGGAGCUCACUUGGCAAAAAGUAGUUGAUGUUGUGGCCCAUGAGGGAGCUGAGUGGAACAUGGCAGGAGAUGAGAUUAAAGGUUUGUGAAAGUGUCAGUUGAAUCCAAUAGCAAAAGCUUGGGCUCAUUUUGUUAGUGCUCACAUUUACCCCAACACUCACAUGCCUAAUAUUGGAAAAGAUAGACUUUUGAUUGUCUAUCUUAUUAUGAAGGGGAUCCCACUUAAUAUUGACCAGAAAGUGUUCGAGAGUUAGCGUGACAUUUUGAAUUUAUGCACAAUAAGUGGGUUGGGACAUCCUUCCAUGAUUCUUGAUUUAUGUCAAAUAUGAGGUUCCUCAAUAUAGAUUGGAUACCAUAGGACAAAUUCGGGUACUAUUUUGCAUUUUUCUGUGAAGAAAUAUUCUGCCCCCAUUCCACAUCCUUUGCCUCCUGGCUAAUUCGGGGGCUAUUUUGCAUUUUUCUGUGAAGAAAUAUUCUGCCCCCAUUCCACAUCCUUUGCCUCCUAGCCAAUUCGAUGGCUAUUUUGCAUUUUUCUGUGAAGAAAUAUUCUGUCCCCAUUCCACAUCCUUUGCCUCCUGGCCAGCGUCGUAAGAAGGUCAAGCGACCUGUGGUGGAUGAAGAUGAUGAGGAAGAAGCUUUGAAUAUGGAAGUGGAGCAUGAUGAGCAAGCAUGAGGCAGUUCUCAGGCAGCCCCUAUGCCUGCUGGGAGUGGUGGUCAUGAUCCUUAUAUAUGGUAUCUCAUUGCCUAAAACCAGUAUAUGAUUAAGGCCCAGCAAGGCAUGAAUAAUAAUUUCAACAACUUUAUGGCCUUAUGACAUGAGGAUGAGAGGAUUCAGGUAGAUCAAUUGAAUGAGUUGGUGCAGAGGCUAGUGGUGAGCCCAAAUGUGGAGAAAUUUUUUCACAUGUCUGACGCAAUACACACCAUACUAGUGGCCACCGCCACCGCCAGCCAUUUUUUGUGUAUAUCGUAUUGUUUUACCUGUGAAAAGAAAAUUGCUAAUAACUGUGUGCUUGGUUAACUAUUUUUGAGUUUAAUUUAAAAAGUUCUGACAGGACAUUUUUAAUAUGUUUCACAAAUACAAUAUUUUAGACUUUACAAUAUAUGCUUGACUAGGGUUGGCGGCAUAAUAGUUUAAAUUUGAUAGAACUUGUAUUGUUUGGCUUUUGAGGCAAAAUUCUUGAUGACUUAUGCUUUAAAAAAUGAUUUAGGCAAUUUUUUUGAAACGUUUGUACCUUUCAAGCUAACCUAUUUUGUGAUUAUCUGUAGUUUAACUCUUUUUGAGUCUUAGACCGAUUUUUUUAAUACACACUUUUUGAGCUAAUAAAAUAAUUUUGACCCAUUUAUUAUUUUUUUCUUAUCCUAACUAUACCAUGAGUUUUCAAAUAAGUUUGGGGGAAAAUUAUAAUGUGGGUAUUGUGUUUUGAGAAAGCUUAAAAAUAAUGAGAGAUAAUGUUUUUAAUAUGUUGCAAUCCUUGUCAUCAAAAUUUAAGAUCUAAAAAAAAGUGAAUAAAAAAAUAAUAGUGUGGAUUGUAACAAUAUAAAUAUCUCUAGUGUAUGGCAGUAAGUACGGGAAUGGGAUAGUUCUGUAAUAAAAGUGAGGUGCUUGGAAUUUAAAAAGCUUAUGGUAUAGUCACUACUACAAAAUUGGCUUUUCCCAACGGUUUAUAACUGUCUUUUAUACUAUUUCCCAACGGCUCCUAAAACUAUUGGCUAUGUGGGUGUCAUAAAAAUGCGGAACAUUAAGCCUCACAUUAUAACCUUUUAAUUUCAAAUCAUUUCUUGUUGACAUUAGUGGAGAAAGUUAAAUGAUGCAAACAUAUUGAAAAUUUGGGUUGUAGUUUUGUUUGGUAUGAGUUGAGCAUAUAUGGCGGAGUUUAAAUUAUUGUGAUCAUUUGUGAGUUAUAUUAUUUAUUUCCCGUUGAACUUUAAAGUUGAACUUUGGGGCGGGUGAACUAAAAAUCUGGUUAAAGAUUACAGUUAAGAUUUUAGAGAAGAGUCAAUGUAGUGUAUAUGACAAUGGUGGUUUACUUGUGUAUGUUGUUUUCUUAUUCGUUAGUUAAACUUGGUCUUUACUCGAGGGUAAGUAAAGGUUAAGUUUGGGCGAAUUUGUUAGAUUUAUUUUUAUGCACUUUUAUAGUCUAAUUUAGGAUGUGUUUUAGUGUUUUUAUUAUUUAAUUGUAGAUUUAUUCUUAGUUUUAAUUUUUAUUGUUUUUUAGGAAAAAUAUUUGGAGAUCUUCAAUUUUGGUGUUCUGCAAGCCUUUUUGAGCAAAAAUGAGAAAAUAUAAUGAAGAAAGAAAACUUUUUUUAGCUUGGAUUAAUUUUCUAUUUCUUAAAAUGGCUCAAAAUGAAAUUUUUAGCUCUUAAAUUCACGACCAAAAGUCAAUAAUAGUCAAAUUUAUAAUUAAGGUGGAAAAUCAAAGAAAAAAAAAAAGAAACAUGGCCUACAAGGCCGCAGCUUGGUAAGCAAGGUCGCGGCCUUACCUUUGUUCACUGUAAAAAAAUGGAAAUUGGAAUCAAAGAAUUAGCGAAGAUCGAAAAAAGGAGAACCUGGCUUAUAAGGUCGCGGCCUUGGUGUUUUUUGGGGCAACUCAAAAUUUGUGCUGUAAAAAGGGAGUUGAUGACUAGUUUUCGACACCAUUCAAAAAUUGAGAUGAAUUCUAAGUGUAGAAAGAGAGUAAGGAGCAGAAGGCACCGGUGAAGGACUCCAACAAUGUUCUAUCUCUUCAACUCUAUCUUUUAUAUCUUUAAUUAGAUUUCUUUUGUUUUAGAAUGUCUUUUAGUAGCUAAGUUCUCUUAGGGAUUAUUAUGUGAACCACUUGAGCUUAUUUUAUGGAUUGAUGUGAUUAUAUAAUUUCUUUUUUUUCUUUAUUCAAUUCCAUACAAUCUGUUUUAAUUUUGUAACUAUUGACUGAUCACCCUUAAUUGUUAUUUAUGAAUUUAAAUCAAAAUUUGAAAAGUAAGAUUUAAAUAUGUUAUGAU